AUUGCGGUGAUUAUUUGCAUCAAACCAAUUGUUCCGACUGAAUGAAUGUUUAUUUCAAUUGUUGACAACUGCACCUAUCGUUAAGUUUCAGCCUUGUAUGAGCUUU
rnacentral:snoRNA from 1 species